rnacentral:rRNA from 1 species
UGGGGAAUAUUGGACAAUGGGCGCAAGCCUGAUCCAGCCAUGCCGCGUGAGUGAUGAAGGCCCUAGGGUUGUAAAGCUCUUUCACCGGUGAAGAUAAUGACGGUAACCGGAGAAGAAGCCCCGGCUAACUUCGUGCCAGCAGCCGCGGUAAUACGAAGGGGGCUAGCGUUGUUCGGAUUUACUGGGCGUAAAGCGCACGUAGGCGGACUAUUAAGUCAGGGGUGAAAUCCCGGGGCUCAACCCCGGAACUGCCUUUGAUACUGGUAGUCUUGAGUUCGAGAGAGGUGAGUGGAAUUCCGAGUGUAGAGGUGAAAUUCGUAGAUAUUCGGAGGAACACCAGUGGCGAAGGCGGCACACUGGCUCGAUACUGACGCUGAGGUGCGAAAGCGUGGGGAGCAAACAGG